CUUAAGUAAAUUCUGAUGAUUCUCAUUUCUAGAUUCAGCAUUGUUUUUGCUGUCUGGAAAGAAAAUGCUCUAGCAUGGUGCUGAUUUGUUCAAGAAGGAGCAUGUUAUUUCAGCCACUGUUGGAGUGCUGUGUCCUUUUGGAAACAACACAAAACUAAGAGCUUUGGUUUCCUUUGUUUCAUUCUAGAUAUUUGCCCUGUUGUCCUCAAGCAGCCUCUGGAGGCUUGAGAAGAAUUUUGAGUGUUGCAGGAUAACUAUUAUGUGAUAUGGUCCCAGACAUGAUAAUUUCUGCCUUUGUCACUCAAGAAGAAGGGAGAAGCUGACGGCUUUGCUGCUUUCCUGAAGAGAGGAGUUCCAUAUAAGGGACAACUUUUAGUAUAGAAGAUGAAGUGGUGAAAAAACAAAGAUGAAGACAACAUGAACCUGCCAAGCAAGGUGCAUUACUGUACAUGGAAUGUUUAGCAAUAAACUAGGAUUGUUAGCAUACCUCCACCUCACAAA